rnacentral:lncRNA from 1 species
CCACCCGCGAGUCCUGGAAGAGGCAGGUCGAAGUUUGAUUUGGCCUCCAGGAAGCCUCAAAGCUGCACACUGGAGUAUGUCGCUCUAAAAGGUGAUAAGGUUAAUAGACACACAUAGACAUGAAUAUUCGGACCGCUGGAUAGAAGAGUCUGUUUUGAAUGUAGGAAGCACCAUGUGGGCUGGCAGAGGAGACGAUGAAAGAGACCUCAGCACUGGAGUCAGAAGAGACUUUGUCUCCAUCCAGUUCUGCUGUAGCAGGGCACCUUUGGGCAACCCACCAUAUUCCUUCAUCUGAGCCAUGGUGCCGCCCUCAAAAAUGGUUGGAAACAUUCAAUAAAAUAAUACAUAUGGAAACA